GUCUUCGGAGGCAGACAGGAUAAGUACAUUGUCGCGCAUGAUGAUGCAGACAUGGUGUCAGGAAAAACUGAGUGGAUCUCUAUGCAUUAUGGUUAAGGGAAUAAAAGCUAAAUCGAUGGCUCCAAGGGAAUACUUGCACUCUUCUUGAUAAACUCAAGUGCAUUGUGGUCGAGGGAUAGGUUUCCUGGACACAAGAAUGCAGUUUGCAUAUGGAAUCUACUCUGCUUUGAGGAUUUGCUAACUGUCCAUCCGUUGAGAGUUGAUGGCCAUUGGGAUAUCGAGCUCGCUGUCAAGGCUUGCAGCCACGGAUGAGCCACCUCACGAGCCAUGGACGAGCAAGGCUUGUGGAUGAGCCAACAUAUUUGUGCAUGCGGUCAUGGUCAUGUUGGGAGGUUAGAAAUGAUCCUUCUUUUUCCUUUUUGUAUGAACUCCAUGUGGUUGUAUGUGGUCGGGCCUCAAACUCAAUCUAUGCGAGAAUUUCCCCUCCUGC